ACUCCUACGGGAGGCAGCAGUAGGGAAUCUUCGGCAAUGGGGGCAACCCUGACCGAGCAACGCCGCGUGAGUGAAGAAGGUUUUCGGAUCGUAAAGCUCUGUUGUAAGUCAAGAACGAGUGUGAGAGUGGAAAGUUCACACUGUGACGGUAGCUUACCAGAAAGGGACGGCUAACUACGUGCCAGCAGCCGCGGUAAUACGUAGGUCCCGAGCGUUGUCCGGAUUUAUUGGGCGUAAAGCGAGCGCAGGCGGUUUGAUAAGUCUGAAGUUAAAGGCUGUGGCUCAACCAUAGUUCGCUUUGGAAACUGUCAAACUUGAGUGCAGAAGGGGAGAGUGGAAUUCCAUGUGUAGCGGUGAAAUGCGUAGAUAUAUGGAGGAACACCGGUGGCGAAAGCGGCUCUCUGGUCUGUAACUGACGCUGAGGCUCGAAAGCGUGGGGAGCGAACAGGAUUAGAUACCCCAGUAGUCCC
rnacentral:rRNA from 1 species